rnacentral:rRNA from 1 species
CCGGCAAACGGGUGCGGAACACGUACGCAACCUUCCUUUAACUGGAGAAUAGCCCCUCGAAAGAGGGAUUAAUACUCCGUAACAUAUUGAUAAGGCAUCUUAUUAAUAUUAUAGCUCCGGCGGUUAAAGACGGGCGUGCGCCUGAUUAGAUAGUUGGCGGGGUAACGGCCCACCAAGUCUGCGAUCAGUAACUGGUGUGAGAGCACGACCAGUCACACGGGCACUGAGACACGGGCCCG